rnacentral:lncRNA from 1 species
UGAAGAUAAAUGGGUUCUCUCCUCUCCAACAUCCUUCUAACCACCAAUAUUACCAACACUAAUAUCCUCUGAGCCCUGCAGUAUUAACUUACCGUCCAUAGGAGGUGCUCUGUGGAGACCAUAGUGGGUGUAAUGGUUUGUUAGGAGGUGCUCUGUGGAGACCAUAGUGGGUGUAAUGGUUUGUUAGGAGGCGCUCUGUGUAGACCAUAGUGGGUGUAAUGGUUUGUUAGGAGGUGCUCUGUGGAGACCAUAGUGGGUGUAAUGGUUUGUUAGGAGGCGCUCUGUGGAGACCAUAGUGGGUGUAAUGGUUUGUUAGGAGGUGCUCUGUGGAGACCAUAGUGGGUGUAAUGGUUUGUUAGGAGGUGCUCUGUGGAGACCAAAAUGUAAAAAAAAAAAAACAUUGUAGAGGACCAGGGACAAGCUGUAAACAUUGUACUAUGACAUGUCUCUUUCUACUUCCUGUGCUAAUAGAUGACGUUGUCUCUUUCUACUUCCUGUGCUCAUCGUUCUUAUUGCGCAUGUGAUCUGACAGGUAAAGCUUUAUUUUUGCAGGGCCCCAGAAUUUUCAGUUCACAUGGCCAGGAUAGAGUCCUGGUCUACUUCACCUGCUGUGAUUGGUUCGUCACACUGCUCAUGUCCGUUAGUUAUUCUAUAUGUCCUGAGGGACAUGUGCUGUGUUGGAGAUAACCAACUGCCUUGUUAUCAGAACACUACUCAUUGUAGUUAAGCCACUUUCCUUAGCACUUAAAGAUUUGUACACCGACCAAUACAAUGCCUUGUUAAAGUGUGAAUAUUUCAGGAUUAUCUACAGUAAUUCCCUAGAGUCAAAUGAACUCAUGGAUACCAUUUUUAAUGUCUCUGUGUCCAGUAUGAAGGACGUUAAGAGGUAGUUUCGCCAGUCAAUGCUAACUGGCGUUAGCACAAUGACUGGAAGUCUAUGGUUAUCUGCUAGCAUGUGUUCUGUUAGUUGGUCAGUGUACCAAUCUUUAUUCAUGCGCUGAGGUAAGUGGCUUAAACAACAAAAUGGUGUUCCGGUAACAAGGCAGUUUGGUUAUCUCCGACACCGCAACACAUCCCUGUUACGCCUCUUGGAGGCCCUUUCACGCAACACCCUGCUACACUCAACUCCCAGUGGAGUGAAAGAGGUAUGUGAUUGUAGGUGCGUUAAGGAUAACAGAGGCAGAGAAGUUCACCAUUAACAGGGAAUUUAUUUCCUUCACACGGUAAAAGUGGGGAAAAGGGGCUGGAAGGAACCAAAGCAAAGAAAGUAAAAGUUAAGAGUCCCCUCUCCUACUUUACCUGUCUACCUUAACUCCACCUGGCGCGCUAACCAAAAUAUUGGGGGGUGGUCUGCCCAGGUCUUACCUAGUGUGCAUAGACAUAGUACAUACUACGGGUAUAUGUAUGCCCGCAGGGCCUCUUGCCUAAGUACUCCCAAGGUGCCUUCCCCUUCCCCC